CUUCCGGAUUAUCCCAGGUUUCAUCCAUGAGUAUUGUAUUGUAAUUCACAAUGAGCAUUGUGUCCUAAAAAAGACAAGCCCGCGAUAGAAGUAUCUCUCAAAGCUCUAUGUGGAACAUUUAAAGUGCGGCCAACAAACAUUCGUAUGGAUUCCAGAACGAUAGCGUGAAGAUAUGGCAUACUAAGAAAUAAAGACAUAGAAAACUUGGAAUAAUUCGCAUAAUCGAUGCGGACCUUUUACCAGCCAUCAUCCUCCAAAGAGUGUUUAGUACGGUC